UUGGGAGCUCACUGACUUCAAAGUCAUGGGAACUCCAAAGUUAAGAGAGUUUGGGCUAGAGCAAUCCUAGGAUGGGUAACCUACUGGGAAGUUGCUCGUGAGUUCUCAAA
rfam:Prunus persica cultivar Lovell chromosome G6, whole genome shotgun sequence.